AUUGAACGCUGGCGGCAGGCCUAACACAUGCAAGUCGAGCGGAUGAAGGGAGCUUGCUCCUGGAUUCAGCGGCGGACGGGUGAGUAAUGCCUAGGAAUCUGCCUGGUAGUGGGGGAUAACGUCCGGAAACGGGCGCUAAUACCGCAUACGUCCUGAGGGAGAAAGUGGGGGAUCUUCGGACCUCACGCUAUCAGAUGAGCCUAGGUCGGAUUAGCUAGUUGGUGGGGUAAAGGCCUACCAAGGCGACGAUCCGUAACUGGUCUGAGAGGAUGAUCAGUCACACUGGAACUGAGACACGGUCCAGACUGCUACGGGGGGGAGCAGUGGGGAAUAUUGGACAAUGGGCGAAAGGCUGAUGCAGCCGUGGCGGGGGUGUGAAGAAGGUGUUCGGAUUGUAAAGCGCUUUAAGUUGGGAGGAAGGGGAGUAAGUUAAUGCCUUGCUGUUUUGACGUUACCAACAGAAUAAGCACCGGCUAAGUUGGUG
rnacentral:rRNA from 1 species